UGUGAGUGACCCAGCCCCUGUCUACACUAGAGCUGUUGGUCACCUGUUUGUCUACACCACUGACACUUGAGUAAUGCUGCUCCCGUUGAACCCAAGACCCUACGAGUGACUCCAUUCCUGUCCAUACCACAUAGCGACUGACCUCUCCAGACACCACAAAUGACGUAUUCCUGUCUAUCCCACAGACACCACGUGUAACGUGGCCACGGAACCUCAGACAGACCGCGUUAAGGGCACUGAUACACUCUCAGGACCUCUAAUAUAUGAACACUCUUCUCUCUAUUGAGAAUCACUAUAUUCUGUUGACGAGAGGGAUUCCUUUGCACUCCUCCUGAUUUCUCUCUCCUCCCCACUAGGACCAUGACAUACAUUCCUCCUGCAUAUCAGUCUCACCCAGAACUGACACGCCCUCAUCCCAUCUUCCCAGCUCCCCAGGACUCCUUCACUAGCCACGGCUUCACUUUUAGGCCCACAGAUUGGUUAACAAAUGACACCCAUUUUGCUAAGGCCUAUGCCAGGAACUUCUUCAUGCUCCAAAUGUGGAUAAAACAAGACGUCUGAGACAGAGGCCACAUCAAGAGCUUUUUAGCUGGAGCUGGGACCUCUGGAUUAGGCCCAAGAUGCAAGGCCAGACAGUGGAGUGCAGUAGGGGAGCAAGCUAGGGAGGAACCUCGAAAGGAAAACCACCCUCUCUCAUCUGUUUGACACACCCUUCUCUCUCAACCAGACAAGAGUCCUGGCCAGAGUUCACUUCUAGGUAGACAGGAGGGCAAAUCUGUCUUUGGAACCCAAGAUCCAGGAAGGGAAGAAAGGGACUGAGAUCUGGAAAUGACGUAGUAUCACAACUGGCUCUCCUCCGGUAGUCUUGCCGGAAGGCAACUGCAAAAGAUGCUCAGGGGUUCUAGAGCUCUGCGUCCGCAUUCUAGCACCCCAACGCCUACCUCAGCCCCCAACUCUAAAUAACUUCUUUCCACCUUGCUAAGAAUGCAACGUUGUGAUUCACAUCAAGCUUUAGGAGGCUCCCCAUAUGUAGGGAACUGGGGUGAGGGGCAGGGCAGGAUUCACUGUUCCAGGUUACGGAGCUUUGGUUAACACGGAGAGAAGCUACACAUAGACUCACACAGUAUGCAAAUACCUAUGGAGAUACAUAAGGAAAGGCCCCGGCCUGGUUAAGGAAAAGGAGCCGAUAAAACCUCUCCAGGUAAGGAACAGCCUAGAAAGGGAAUCUCAGUUAUUCCUUCUGAUAUGGCUUAGCUUUCCCCAGGGCGCCUACUUUGAAGAAAGAGCCCUGAUUAUUGGCCCGGGGAACGUCUGGGGGCAGGGUGCCCAUUUCCUAGGCGGGACCCGACCGGAAGCAAACUUGUAGGCAACAACAUUUCCUCUAGUUCCUCUCCUCUUCCCCACCAGGGUCCUCAGCCACACACCCCGAGCCCUGCCUGCGGGCCCAGCCCCCCCAUUUCCGGAGCCUGCGCCCCGGACCCAGCGGGGGCUGAUCCCUGGGAAAGGCCUGGCUUCCUCUUCCUUCCUGUCCCUGCCCCACCUCCGCCGGGCUCCACAGCCGCCGGGAGCCCAGGGCCGAGACGGGAGGAGGGCACCCACCUGGUCGGUGUCACAUGCUGCUUCGGCCCCAGCGUCCCCUCCAGGUCCCGGCGCCGGCCGCAGUCCCCAGAGCCGUCCCCAGCGCAGGCCCGGCCGCCCCACCCGCGACCCGCCCCUGGCCGCCCGACGGGAGGGAGGGAUCGGGUUCUCCUAGGAAGUUUCAGUAGUGAAAUGGUGAAAAAUCAGACAAUGGUCACAGAGUUCCUCCUACUGGGAUUUCUCCUGGGCCCAAGGAUUCAGAUGCUCCUCUUUGGGCUCUUCUCCCUGUUCUAUGUCUUCACCCUGCUGGGGAAUGGGACCAUCCUGGGGCUCAUCUCAC
rnacentral:lncRNA from 1 species